rnacentral:lncRNA from 1 species
CAUUAGAAAUUCUGUAGUUGUCACUAUAACGGUUUGUUAUUUAUAUGCUUCUAAAUUUUACAGGAGCAGAAUAUUAUCAGUAUAUUAAAUUUGAACUCGCAACAUCGUCUUUUAUUAUUACAUUGAACGUGAUAAUCUGAAAGCUUUGGGAAUGCUAUCAUAUGGCCUGUCAUCAGAAAAUGGCGCUUUUGCCUAUCCGUGGCCCGAGAGAAGUUGAUGGGAGUGUGUUUGUGCAACAGCCUGGUAUCAUCAGUUCUGUGCACUGUUUCACUGCGCUGAGGACCACUGUGAGUCACAACUUUGAUACAGACUGGUUAUUGAGUGGAUUUUCAUCCAUUUGUUGAGCAACAACUACGAUGUUUUCAAACAAAGUUGGUGCUCCUAAAUCUUGUUGCUGCGUUGAUGAUCGCCUUUGAAGAAGAUGAAGUCCACCAGCAGAUGGGAGAAAGCAACACACAGGGAAUAGCAACAGAUGGUCUCUGUAUCUUCCCCUCCUACUCAUCCAAAGCUCUUAAGGCUGCAUUCCUAAUCAACCAAACGCAAGCAUCCCACACCCAUGCCGAGAAGAAUAACCUGAGCAUGCAAACUCUGCUUUGAAAUAAGUGUUAAAAAUACAUGACCUAUAUUGUCUGGUAACGAGGCAUUGAAAAUAUAAUGAUUAACUCAGUUACAGUUCUGUCCAUCUACCCUUAUGCUAUGUUACUCAAAUUCCUAUACUACUAACAAAAUUCUCAUUGAAUGCUAAUGAUGAUAAUCAUAGUACUUAACUCUGUGUAUUACUGUCAGUAAUUACACACACACAUCCUUAAGUUGGAAUCUUUAUUAAAAACACAUUUCAUUUUAUGGACUUCAGUUAUUAAAUGUCAAGUGAAAAUAAAUUAGGCUAUAGCAGACA